UGGCUACCUAACCUAUUCUGCGAUAUGGCUUGAUGGAUGUUGUUUUGUUUUGUUGAUGACUUGAUGGCUUCUGUUUUAUCUUGUCGAGUGGUGGUUGAUUCAUUGUGUUUGAGAUUUGUGAAUCAAGAAAGUCGUCAAAAUGUCGUAUUCACGAUUCAUCUGGAAAGUUGCAUUUCCCGGAGCACAAGGCUGACCUUCUGCACAACUUAUUUCUUAUUUCUCCGCCGCUUGGAAUCUGACCCGAGUCUGUUGGGUGUCUCACCGCAGACCUGUGACAAAGGUUAGGUUUUGGCUUGCCUGAAUACUCACAUGCUCAGUUGCAUCGGUACAAUUGAUCCACCCAACAGGCUCGGCUUGAAUGGUUGAACAAUUUUGGGGGUCACUUUGGGGGAACUGUCCCCUCCGGACCCCCCUUAGCCCAGGAACACACGAGAUGGCGUACUGCCCGACGGCUGUUCCCCGGUUAUGGAGACAAAAAUUCCCUCCCAGCAGCAACGGUCAUCGACCGACCCAAACGGAUCGCUGCCUGUCUGGAGAGACGUCUGUCCGGAGACAGCAGAUCGCUGCAUAUCUUCUCCAUGGAUAAGAUAACCAGAACCAGAAUCUGGUUCGGUUGCUGCUAACUGCAUGGAUGUGGGACUGACUUACCAGCAACAAUUUUGGGGGUCUGGGGGGAACUUUCCUCCCUGGACACCCCUUAUGGACACAUUACCUCCCCGCACCAUCGGUCAUCGACCCAUCAACCGAACACAAAUGUGCCAUACGUAUAUGUACACGGUUAGAUGCUUCGGGGACUUUGCCUUGUAACCUUGGAUCUAUCUUGCUUGGGGUACUCUUCCAUGCUUCAACGGCCGGGGGUGCUCUGGACCCCCAAGGAGCGUCUCUUGUCAUCCUUGACGUGUUGAGAAAUGAGUGCGUAGCGUGUGACACAUUACUCAGCUCCUUCACCAUCACUGGCUUGGAUUUGGAUGUGACAGUUGCAGCAGCAUCAUUUGUGACAGUAGCAGUCGCAGCAUCAUCAGCCACAGUAAUAGCAACAGUAGUCACAGUAGCAGCAACAGCAGUCACAGUAGCAGCUUGCAGUAAGCUUGUCAAAAAAUUGGCAGUUUUCAAUUGUCAAAUUAUUUAGUGUAUUUAGUCAAACACUUGACCUGCAGCACUGUACCUGAAAUCUUCUCUGUUUUAUAAAUUUGUAAUGUUCAGUGCAUGAUCAUUAUGUUAUAAACUAGACUUUCCACAUGAUUGGAGAUAUCUUCGUUGCAAAAAUUUUACGAUGAAAAUUUUAGCAUUAUUCAACUGAGAUAGCAUUACUCAAGAAAUUGAGACUUUUAGCCAUUUGCGACUCUAAUUACAAUUCAAUUCGUGACUCCUACUCUGGUGAUUUCAUACUUCUAUUUAUUCUUCAUAAUAUUUAUUCUUUAUUGCUGUCUUACAUUCAUUUAUGAGUUGAAAAUAGACAUUAACCAAUACAAAACAAGAUGAAAAUAGAUGAGACAAUUUCAAUAGGUUAUACGAUGUAGUUGAGUUAUGGUCCUAUGUUCAUUCCCUUGAAGAAUGAAGGAUUAUCACCAAAGUAGUAGAGGUUUCUCCUACUACUUGAAAGAACAUGUUCAAGAGAAAAUGUUGGAAAGAGAUUUGGGUGAUUUCAAGCCUUGGAUGUUGUAAUCUUGAUUAUAAAUUCUUGACUCGUAUAGAACGUGUAGGAUUUAGACCAAAACUAAGAAAGCUUUAGACCUUAGAGGAUGCUACGAGAUUUUUAUUUUUAAAAAUGUUAAAAUGCUUGAAACAUUUGUGUUCUUUGAAAUUUUCCUCGACUUCCUUGGAAAGUUGAGAUUAAAUUUGAAUAUCCGCGUAUUACUAACUUGAUGUUUUAAUAUGCAUAGAGAUUGUACAUGUUUCAAAUUGGGUUGAUUAUGACAGGAACAUGAUAAUUGAUGUGCAGUAUAGGUAAGCUUCCCGAUAUGAUAGGUAGAAUUCAUGACAUAAUACCCAGUUAAAGUAGUUAAAAUACCGGAAAAAAGUUGAUACUAAAGCUGUUGUUUUAGAAGACAUGAUAAAAAUCUUAAAGUAGUAAACUAAAAUUAACUGAAUCUAAAAUCUACGUUCCUUGUGCUCGCCUAUCAUUUAGUGACAUCUAUCGAUGAACUUUAUAACUUUUACUAGAAGUUAUUGGUGGGAGAAGUUUGCACUCCCGGGAAAAACGUUCCAUAUCCGGUGCAAUGUCUGACAACAUGAAUAUUCUAGUGUGUCCAGAUUUGUUAAAGACGUGAAUAUUGGUAAAAAACGGAAAAUCAAUGUUGAAUAUUGGAAGAAAGAAGUUAAAAUGAUUUGGAGGAAUAGUGGGAAAGAGUAUUCCAACUACCAAAACCAAAUAAUACCUGAGAAAAGACCUUCUACUGAGGUAAGUGGAAAAACGUUUCUUGCCCUUUUAGGUCGUCGUCCACCUCAACUCUCAUCAUUAUAUUAUGUGAUUGAUCCCCUUCAGCUCCCAAAGCUUUAUCAGGGUCCAUUACCGAUAACAAAAGGCAAAAAUGUGAUUUGCUGGAUAUGUUGCCUGAAGAACACAGGCAGUUUUAUCUAGAGCUCCUAAGUGAGUAAACAACAUGUGAAAGAAAUAUUGUCUUGUUCAUUGUUACACUGUUGGAAUCCCAAAAUAAACAAUAUUAUUAGUCGAAGACAAAGACUGUAAUAAUUAAGAAGACAAUGGGCCAUAUGAAUAAAGUUGAGCAUUUGCUUAUACUUCUAAAAUAUGGAGCAUUUGCUUAAUUUUCUAUAAAUAAACGUGAGCAUACCCUUUUGCUCAUGCUCAUCAGAAUAUAG